GCCCGCCUAGCUCAAUCGGAUAGAGCGUCAGACUUUUAGGGCACACAUGCGUUCCAAUCUGAAGGCUGCGAGUUCGACCCUCGCGGUGGGCU